UAAUACGAAGGGAGCUAGCGUUGUUCGGAAUUACUGGGCGUAAAGGGCGCGUAGGCGGUUUCGAUAGUCAGGCGUGAAAUCCCCAGGCUCAACCUGGGAAUUGCGCUUGAUACUGCGAGACUUGAGUGAGGGAGAGGAUAGUGGAAUUCCCAGUGUAGAGGUGAAAUUCGUAGAUAUUGGGAAGAACACCAGUGGCGAAGGCGGCUAUCUGGACCUCAACUGACGCUGAGGCGCGAAAGCGUGGGGAGCAAACAGG
rnacentral:rRNA from 1 species